CUUUGCUUGGGGAAGGGAAGCAACAGAGGAGUGGAGCUCCUCUGCUGAGCUCUUAUAACAAGCAGCCAGGUGUUCAGAAAGGGAGCGGACUAGAAACUGGAAGUUGCCAGGAUCAGUGUGCUGGUGACCCUGAAACCUGAGAGCAAAGAGAAUGCCCUGGCUGCAGUCAGGUUUGUUGCACUGCACCCAGGGCAGGAAGCAUUGGCGAGUGCCUUCCCUGGUUCCUGCCCCACAAACCACCCUGUGGCUGAUACUCAGCAUGUGCAGUACUUCCUUCCCUGGCUGCAGCCCCACAAACCUGCCUGAGGCUGGGGACCUGCUGCCUUCCUACGAGGUGCUGAAGAAAUCAGUUCUCGCGCUUGAUUCUGUUUCCCUUGCCAUUUGGCUGCCAAAUCUACACCUCAGUAACAAGACUCUUCUUGAAGGCCAUGGAAAGUGUUUGUUAAUUUUCAGCACCUUUUGAGCCAAUGUAAGACAUUGCUGCACUGCAGUGUGGUGUGUCCUGACCGCUACUUCGAAUUUGGAACAUUGUAUAAAACUGGUA